UCUCCGUAGGUGAACCUGCGGAGGGAUCAUUACCAGUGACCCCGGUCUUACCACCGGUAUGUUCAUAACCCUUUGUUGUCCGACUCUGUUGCCUCCGGGGCGACCCUGCCUUCGGGCGGGGGCUGCGGGUGAACACUUCAAACUCUUGCGUAACUUUGCAGUCUGAGUAAACUUAAUUAAUAAAUUAAAACUUUUAACAACGGAUCUCUUGGUUCUG
rnacentral:misc_RNA from 1 species